GAGACACCCCUGUGGAGCAGGACUUGCUUCAGUGCAGCUUUGGUGCUCACUGAGUCUGCCCCUUGAGUGUGUUGCA
rnacentral:pre_miRNA from 1 species